GGGGGAAUCCAAGAUGGUGGUGGAGUAGGUGGAUGUUACACUCACCCCCUCCCAGGACCAAACUGGAAUUACAAUUAAAACAUAGAACCAUCAACCUGAAUAACCCAACCGAAGACAAGCUGAACAGAAGUCUCAUAACCAAGGAUUUACAGAAGAAGCCACAUCAACAUUGAU